UAACGGCGAGUGAAGCGGCAACAGCUCAAAUUUGAAAUCUGGCGGCCUCUGGGCCGUCCGAGUUGUAAUUUGAAGAGGAUGCUUUUGGCGAGGCGCCUUCCGAGUGCCCUGGAACGGGACGCCACAGAGGGUGAGAGCCCCGUAUGGUUGGACGCCGAGCCUCUGUAAAGCUCCUUCGACGAGUCGAGUAGUUUGGGAAUGCUGCUCAAAAUGGGAGGUAAACCCCUUCUAAAGCUAAAUACUGGCCAGAGACCGAUAGCGCACAAGUAGAGUGAUCGAAAGAUGAAAAGCACUUUGAAAAGAGAGUUAAACAGCACGUGAAAUUGUUGAAAGGGAAGCGCUCGCGACCAGACUUGUGCCCGUCGAAUCAGCCGCCGCUCGUCGGCGGCGCACUUCGGCGGGCUCAGGCCAGCAUCAGUUCGCUGCAGGGGGAGAAAGGCGAUGGGAAUGUGGCUCUUCGGAGUGUUAUAGCCCGCCGCGCAAUACCCCUCGGCGGACUGAGGACCGCGCAUCUGCAAGGAUGCU
rnacentral:rRNA from 1 species